rnacentral:rRNA from 1 species
GACGAACGCUGGCGGCAUGCCUAAUACAUGCAAGUCGAGCGAACAGAUGAAGUGCUUGCACUUCUGACGUUAGCGGCGAACGGGUGAGUAACACGUAAGGAAUCUACCUAUAAGCGGGGGAUAACAUUCGGAAACGGGUGCUAAUACCGCAUAAUAUCUUCUUCCGCAUGGAAGAAGAUUGAAAGACGGCUCUGCUGUCACUUAUAGAUGACCUUGCGGUGCAUUAGUUAGUUGGUGGGGUAAUGGCCUACCAAGACGAUGAUGCAUAGCCGACCUGAGAGGGUGAUCGGCCACAUUGGGACUGAUACACGGCCCAAACUCCUACGGGAGGCAGCAGUAGGGAAUCUUCCGCAAGGGGCGAAAGCCUGACGGAGCAAUGCCGCGUGAGUGAAGAAGGCCUUCGGGUCGUAAAGCUCUGUUAUAAGAGAAGAACAAAUUGUAGAGUAACUGCUACAGUCUUGACGGUAUCUUAUCAGAAAGCCACGGCUAACUACGUGCCAGCAGCCGCAGUAA